UACGGGGGGAGCAAGCGUUGUUCGGAUUUACUGGGCGUAAAGGGCGCGUAGGCGGCCACCGCAAGUCAAUUGUGAAAUCUCCGGGCUUAACUCGGAAAGGUCAACUGAUACUGCGGGGCUAGAGUGCGGAAGGGGCAACUGGAAUUCUCGGGGUAGCGGUGAAAUGCGUAGAUAUCGAGAGGAACACCUGCGGCGAAGGCGGGUUGCUGGGCCGACACUGACGCUGAGGCGCGAAAGCCAGGGGAGCGAACAGG
rnacentral:rRNA from 1 species